GUUUGAUCACCUACGAAUUUUAAAUCGAGGCUUUUGCCGAUAUUGCUAUUUUGGCAUUUUUUUAAGACGUUUAUACCGGUUAAUAGCCCCGCAUGAUCAAUUUACCACAUACAUCGAGAUGAAUCUAAGAAUAAAUACUGAAUACCACCACAUACAGUGUUUAUCGACACGAUCUGUCCGCUAUCUGUUUCCAGAACAGAAAAGUAAAUUGACCUACACUUUCCUAGUAGCAGAUGGAGAUGACUGGUACUGGACAUCGAACUAACUCCACGUUAAAAAUUGGUCGCACUAAAGUCUCAUCUGUAUUUCAACCAGCUUAAAAAAGUUUAUUGUAUGUCAACACGGCAUGUACGUCCGUUUUCUGCAAAAGGAAGGGCUCUUUAUGAAGAGAGAAUUGAUGACUUUAGGAAGCGCUGUUCUGCUUCAUGGCGCAAAGUGACUGAAAGUUUGUGCUUAGUUAGUAGUUUAACUUAUGAGAGUAAUGUUGGUGAAAUUAACCUGAUUGCACAGCAAUUACCUAUGAAAGUUACGUAAAAGUUAAAGACAAAUUUGAAGUGUACUUAAAAAAAUGUGAAAAGUGAAGCAAGUCUUAAAGAAUUAUCGGCUCUCACUACAGACGUGUCGCUACAGGAAAAAGCAAAUUUACAUGUGCUGGAAAAGAUUGACCAAAAUAAACAAUCAAUAUUAAAAAAGUCAUGUCCAGCAUGAAGCCAAACUCUGUCCAUGGUGGUGUGAAGACACAUAGUUCGAGAUCCUCUAGCCGUAGGAGUGAACUCAUCGCAUUGAAACAAGCAGAAGCCGAAUCUGCCAAGAUAAAACUGAAAUAUACUCAACAAGAAGCAGCUCUUUUGAAACAAAAGGCAGAAUCAGAAGUGAAUCUUCAAGUUCUUUCUCAGCAAAAAGCUUUUGAAGCCGACGCUGCAGAAGUAAAGGUACUACAAGAGCAUGAUGUCGAAGGCUCUGAUGGGUCAGAAAGUCAUGUUGCACCAGACAUUAAAUUCAAAUUGCAAACUUUGCCUGUUGUAAAACCUGACAAUCUAGUUCAAGAAUUCAUCAAGAAAUCCACAAACAAUCCAACAGUAUCUGACACUAAUAUGGGAGAAAAUCUGUGCAAAUUUCUCCUUAAAAAAGACUAGGCUCUCUCGCGACUGACUAUAUUUAGUGACAAAACUGACUUUUUAUCCCUGGAAAUGUUUGCAUUAAUAUGUAAAAUGAUGACAAUUUAUAAUAGCUGUAUUUAUACAAGUAUAAAAAAUGUUGAUUUUUAAUGCAAAAAAUGACUUUGUUUGUGAAAUGUGCGUUUUAAUACGAACAAAGAUGACAGUUAAUAAUAGUUCGUAUUUAUACGAAAUAUCAAAAAUGUUGAUUGUUAAUGCAAAAAAAAAGACCUUUUCCCUGAAAAUGUUCGUAUAAAUACCAACAAUGAUGACAUCUAUGAAUUUAUCAAGUAUUUCUGAAUAAAAUGUAUAGUGCGUAAAUUUACGAAGUAUGGUUAUGUUAAGAAUCUAUGAAUUAAACAAGUAUUUCUGUGCUUUUUUUAAGUGCGUAAAUUUACGAAGUCUGGUUUUUAAGAAUCUAUGAAUUCACCAAGUAUUUCUGAAAUUGUUUAAUAAUGGGUAAAUUUAGGAAGUCUGGUUUUGCUAUGAAUUUGCCAAGUACCGAGUAUUUCUGAAAAUAUAUAAUAGUGUGUAAAUGUACGACGUAUGUUAAGAAUAUAUGAACUGACCAAGUACAUGACUUUGUAUUUCUGAAAUUUUUAAUGCAGCAUAAAUAUACGAAAUAUGAUUUUGUUGAGAAUAUAUGAAUUGACAAAGUACGGGGUAUUUCUGAAAAAAUGUCAUAGUGCCUAAAUUAACGAAGUAUGGUUUUGUAAAGAAUAUAUGAUUGAAUUGACCUGGUAUUUCUGAAAAUUGUUAAUAGUGCUUAAAUUUACGAAGUAAGGUUUUCCUGAGAAUUUAUGAAUUGAUGAAGUAAUUCUGAAAAAAAAUAGUAGUGCGUAAAUUUACGAAGUAUGGUUUUGUUAAGGAUAUUUGAAUUGACAAAGUAUUUCUGAAAAGUUUUACUAGUUUGUAAAUUUACGAAGUAUGGUAUUAUUAAGAAUAUGAAUUUACCAAUUAUGUCUGAAAAGUUUUAAUAGUGCGUAAAUUUACGAAGUAUAGUUUUGAAUUUACCAAGUAUUUCUGAAAAGGUUAAAUAGUGCGUAAAUUUACGAAGUAUGUUUUUGUUAAGAAUCUAUGAAUUCAUCAAAUACUGAAUACAUGUAUUCUUAUUACAAUGAAGUUCUUCUCUACUAUAUAUAUAUAAUUUUCGUCGUUUGAGUUUACAAAUUAGAAGAAAAUUAUUUUUCCAUAAUGCAAUCUUAUGAUUGCUUGGUCACACUGAAAGUGUGCACGAGGAAAUUGAGUGCAUUUGGCGGUUUUUCGUCAUUCAGCUUUGAACAGUCUCACUGUAAAGACAAAGUUAAAGUUUAUAUCUGUGUUUCUUGUUUCAUUUUCGGGAGUACAUUAUUAAUAUACCAGACGUGAAUGAAGUGGUACUUAAGGAAAAGUGUUUUUCACCGAAAAUCAAGCCCUAUUUUUUACAACCUACCGCUAUUUUAAACUAUAGCAACUCAUGCGGUAAACAACACGAUUAAAUACAAAUGAAAAACAUAUAUUUUAAAUUAUAGAAAGGUAUACAUGUUUAUAGAAAUGUGAUCUUAAGGUCUUAAUUCUGUUUUUUUUUGUAGCAGUUUUACAACUUAUUUUUAAGGUAGUUUUAAAACUUAUCAGUGUAAAACUAGUUUUUUAAACGCAUUAAUUGAUAAAGUUGAUAAAGGCGUCUUAGUAUUACACACAGCAUGCAUUAAAAAGGAAUGAAUGACAAAAUAUUGUAUAUCAAAUACAUAAUUAAUAUAAUCUAUAUUAAUAUAACUUUUCAAAUAGACUAAUUCCAACUAUCUAUCUGGAACAAUAGACAAAUGACGGACAAGACUUACUCUACCGCUCAUCAAAUUAGUAAAUUACUACAAGUUGACACAUUUUGCUUACAAAAUUUAUAUUUGGCCACAUAAUUUUCUUCAUAAAACCCCAUUAAAUAGCAAACAUCACAAUAUUUUUUACACAUCGAUGCUCAUUUGGAUAAAUAAAGAGAAGUCCUGCAGGAACUUGUAUACAGAUGGUCAAACGGAUAUUUUGACACUUUUUUGUAACAAAUUGAAUAUAUCAAAGAACAAUAUAUAACAGACAGCGAAAUGCCAAAUAUGCCUGAUUAUGAAAACACAGUUUAGUUUAUGAAUAGUGAUCAUUGUAAUAGAUACAAUUAUAAAGCGUUGAACACCCGAGACGAUUGAAUACUUUGGAAUAGAUAGUUUAUGUUAAUUCUUUUCAAUUUUGUAUGUAACAUAACAGUUUUUAACGUUAAAGAAAUAAUAAGAAAAUUAAUAAUAUGAUAGGAAUGUAUAAGUAAAUUUAAUUAUCAUAACUGUAUGUUUUAAUAAUAUGACAAAAUCAUGUAUGCAUAUUAGAAAUUAUGUUUGAAUAAUGUAAGAAAAUUUUAAAAGUUUAUUUUCAUCAAUAUUUAUAAAUAAAAUAACUGUUAUAACUAA